rnacentral:rRNA from 1 species
AGCGAACGCUGGCGGCAGGCUUAACACAUGCAAGUCGAGCGGGCCCUUCGGGGUCAGCGGCAGACGGGUGAGUAACACGUGGGAACGUACCCUUUGGUUCGGAAUAACGCUGGGAAACUAGCGCUAAUACCGGAUACGCCCUUUUGGGGAAAGGCUUGCUGCCGAAGGAUCGGCCCGCGUCUGAUUAGCUAGUUGGUGGGGUAAUGGCCUACCAAGGCGACGAUCAGUAGCUGGUCUGAGAGGAUGAUCAGCCACACUGGGACUGAGACACGGCCCAGACUCCUACGGGAGGAAGCAGUGGGGAAUAUUGGACAAUGGGCGCAAGCCUGAUCCAGCCAUGCCGCGUGAGUGAUGAAGGCCUUAGGGUUGUAAAGCUCUUUUGUCCGGGACGAUAAUGACGGUACCGGAAGAAUAAGCCCCGGCUAACUUCGUG